rnacentral:ncRNA from 1 species
UAGUGGAGUCCAGAUACCAUUAUAAAACGGGGCGUCUUCAGAAAAGCCAAAUGAGUAUGAAAA